UACAGAGGUCUCAAGCGUUGUUCGGAUUCAUUGGGCGUAAAGGGUGUGUAGGUGGCGCCGUAAGUCGGGUGUGAAAUUUCGGAGCUUAACUCCGAAACUGCAUUCGAUACUGCGGUGCUUGAGGACUGGAGAGGAGACUGGAAUUCAUGGUGUAGCAGUGAAAUGCGUAGAGAUCAUGAGGAAGACCAGUGGCGAAGGCGGGUCUCUGGGCAGUGAACUGACGCUGAGGAGCGAAAGCGUGGGGAGCGAACAGG
rnacentral:rRNA from 1 species